rnacentral:tRNA from 1 species
GGUGUAGCUCAAUUGGCAGAGCAGCUGAUUUGUAAUCAGCAGGUUGCGGGUUCAAGUCCCAUCGCC